rnacentral:lncRNA from 12 species
CAUCUCUGGCAAAAACAAAAGACCAGGAAGUAUUGGGCAGUCUAAAAAGUACACAUAUCUAAUUGGGUGAGGUGCCGGAAAGGUGAAUCAAUCCAUGAAGAUGGUUUGCUCUGGAGCCCCCUGGGGACAUUCUUGCAAGUAUAUUGG